rnacentral:tRNA from 1 species
GGGGGUGUAGUUCAAUUGUAGAGCAUGAAUUUAGCAGAUACAAAGCCCUGGGUUCAAUUCUCAGCACUCCCC